ACCUGACUAACACAACUCUUUUGUGUAGUACAAUAAUUGUAAAUACCUUUUGUAUAUAUGCUAAGGGAUUGUUUGGUAACUUGUUAGGAGUAAGUUAUUCAUGUAUUAAAUAUCCUGCUAAAGUAAUAUAGUGUUUGGUAGCUAGUUAUGAUGUGAGUUAUCCAUAUAUAAAAUUAGUACGGUGUUUGAUUUGUAAUUUAGAAACCCGCAUUAACUAAUAUAUGUAUAAAUUACGAGAGAAUAAAUAUAUUAUUUUAUAUAGAGCAAAAUGUGAAAUAGCUAAUACAUAAAUAAUUAAACCCUGCAUAAAUUCCCUCAUAACUAAUUUAUAUAUUACUAAUUCCUGCAUAACUCUAACAACCUAGGUCUCACUAUAUUUAUCUCUCUCCUACCUUCAAUUUUUUAACUUGAAUACUUUGAUAGAUAAAAGCAAAAAAAUGAAUAGAAAAUUUGGGGGAGGGAAGAAACCAACAGGAACUCCAUCAAUGGGUUGGUCAACUGUGGUUGUGGUUGUUUCUCUGCUUGCUGGUGCCUCCCUUGUCCACAAUUUUGUCAAACCUGAUUUGACUCUACCCCCUGUAGACAGCAUAGAUGGAAUCAAGCAGAAAGAUGCGGAGAAGCAAUAAUCUUUUAUUUCUAUUCAUUUAAGUUUGAUGAAAAUCAUGAAAUGGAGUAGCUAUUAACAAUAGCGCGCGCACACCCCUCUCUUUCUCGCAGGACUGAGUUUUAGCACUUGAAGCUAAAUGAUGUUGCACAUGUGAGAUGAUUUGAGUUCGGAUUCACUGAUUAUUAUGUUUUCUUGGACAGUCCAGUUCUUAGUUGUUCUUUCCCUUGUAUUUCACAGUUGUUCCUAGUAGCGGAUAAACCAAGUUUAGUGUUUCGUGUUUUACUAGGUUGUGCUUUGUGCAUGUACGACUUCGUUGUCUGUCAAUUGACCAAGAGACUGUAGCUCAUUUGAAAUGAAGUUCUCUUACCCAAAAGAACAAGAAGAAAAUUAUCCAUGAUUAUGGUUCUGAUGGCUUUUGAAUAUUGA